CUUCCCUUGGUGUAGUUGGUUCAUCACGUUCGACUGUAAUGGUUUCAUUGUCAUCGAAAGGUCUCUAGUUCGAUUCUGGAAGGGAAGA
rnacentral:tRNA from 1 species